UAUCAUGGACAAACCCGUCGCUGCCACUACUAAUGGAUUUUACCUGUGUAUUAUGUCUAUAUAAACGAAAUCUUGCCUUAAAAAAUUUAAGGUACAAAUAAGUAAUAGAAAUUAAACUUUUCAAUAGUUUCAGAAUAAUUUCAAACAAUAAUUCUUUCAACUUGCAAUACAAUAUUUUUGUCAUAUUUUAGAGGUUAGGUCAACUCAUCACUUUUAUUAUUUGAUAUACACAGUAUCAUUAAUUUUUUACUUCUUUUUGGUUAAUAUUAUUAAUAUUUUAAUUUAUUUUAAUUUAAAAAUGGAGUGAUAAUACAAAAUUUAAGGAAAUAUUUUUUAUUUUAAAAAUUUAUUUUAUGUUUAUAAAAAUGAAAUAUUUUAUAAAUAUAUUUCCUUAUUCUUGUCAUAUUGUUGAAAAUCCACAAUGUCUUCAAACUAAUUUGCGAUGCUUUAAGGAAGACGAUUAUAAAUUUAUCGAAAAUAUCAGAUAAGAAUUUAUGAUUCUGUAAAAUUUUAAAAAUUUAUCAUAAUACGAAGUAAAUCAACAAUUCUUGCAGAUACGAAACGAGAUAAGUUGUCUCCUUGGAUUAACGGGUUCACUUGGAACAUAAAACGUCCUUAUGCAGCGCAUUACGAGAAAAAGAAGUGCACGCGCGAUCGAAGAAAAUUCCCAAGCACAAGAAUCUCGCGUUGAGGAGCACUGAUCUGCAGUGUAUAUCGUGUAUUACCUAUAGUGGGGAUGGAGGUGAAGAGUGUAAGAGGAGAGUAUGGAGGGGCUCAAGGCCGGUCACGCUGUCAAGCCAGAAAGCCUGCGCGCCGAAAUAUCAACAUGAUUGUCCAAGUCGGUUAGCCUCGCUUGCUGCUCCGAUUACCUCGCUCGUUCGUAGACACGCGGCUAUAUCACGUUCUCGUUCUCAUCGCGUUCCCGACAUGAAAGCCGCGUAAUCAUGAAAAAUUUGUGUCAACUUCUUUCUCUUGAAUCAAUAAAUUGAUAUAUGAAGAUAUGAAAAAAGGGCGGACAGAAGUGAAAAAAACGACGAAGUUUAAAUUGUGAAGCCAGACAGAGAAAAGGAAGAAAAUCGACUUUUGGACAGGUGGUACGAACACGGAGGCUGACAGCUGAUAGUUCGUGACUCUUGUAUCGAGGGAAGUUACGAAACUCGUUACCACGAGAAAGGCUAUGACACGGUCUUGCAGGAAAGAAGCGGAAUAUGUCGGUGUAUGAGAACGUAUGUGUGCGAGUGCCUUCGCGGCUCGCAGCCGAGAAAGAGAAAGAGGAAAAGGACGUAAAGAGACAAAAGGAAGAGACGCCAAAAGGAAGAAACAGAGAAAGAAAAAGAAAGAGAAAGAUCGGUAAUCAAUCGGCGAUUAAUCGAUCUGCGAUUGAAAUUCAUCGCAGCGAUUCGAUAUCAGAGUAUCGAGAGUCUCUGGAUAAAGCUAGGCUGAUAAAGUUAAAACGAUUUUCUAUCGAUGAGAACACGUUCGUGACGAAAAAAAAUCAAGCAAAGAAUGAGAUGAGAAAAGGGGGGAAGAAAGAGAGAAGAAAAGAAAAGAGAGAAAAAGAACGAUGAAAGGAAAGGGGAUAACGAGGAGGAGGGAGUCGAGGGGUCAUCGGGAAACAUAACCUCUGUACGCGCAACGUUCGAAUAGCCGACUAAACAAUUUUCGAUUUUACCUUUGCUUCCAUACACUUCCGUGUAUCGCGUUUCCUUACCUUAUGUUUCGUGCAACUCGACAACCGCAACGAGGAUUGUCCAAAGCAUUCGGGUUGAAAGGCAGCGUCUGGGACACGACAAUCUUGACAGUUUUCCACAAUGAUGUAUAGCUCGGCUGGUACAGUUUUUUCGGCUAGCACACGAGGACAGAUAGGUCGAUAGAUCACACAACACUACUACCGACACUUUCGAUAUACGGCACUAUGGUAGAUGUGCAAUCGGGCGUCUUCGGACGAAGUAACAGGCAACCGAAAGAGCUUGGCACACCUUCGCGUCACGUUACAACGAGUUACAACGAGCCACGGGCAGCUACAGGCACGGGCUACCUCGGACUCUCCGUCUCCGUCUCCGCUGUUGACUGGUGGCUACGACUACCUCACACCACAAGCUCGUCUCGUACCUGUGUCUCUCUUUCUCUCUUUUUCUCUUUCUAUGCUCGUGUUCAGAGCCAGUGCCAAUAGUACAGUGCAUCACCACCAGAUGGACGACGUUGUCGCGCGUCGAUGUACUAUAAUAUAGCGAUUCUUCAUGAAAUUGAUUUGAAAUGAUACUCAAAAAACGUUCAUAAAACGAAAGAAACUUUAAAAAUUUCAUUCGCAUUUUAUUGAUUAUUUUAACUAAUGGACUCAUUAAGAUAUUUUGUAUUAAAAUAAAUUAAUACAACAAUAAAUGAAAUGAAAUAUCAUAAUUAGAUAUUUCUCAAAUAAAGAUGGAAUUAUAUUCCUUUAUAUAAUAAACAUUUAAUGUAUUUAAAGAUUUAUAAAUAUUAUAAUAAUUGAUAAAAUAAAAUAUUUAAUAAAAAAACAAAUUAAAUGAAUAGUAUAUUGCUGCAAAAAAUUAAUUAAAUAAUGAAUAAAAAACUAUACGUUAAUUACAUUGUUAAUAACAAUUUUUCCUAUUAAAAUAUUUUUUUUUGAGCAUUUUAUUAUCAUUAACGUAUGUAGUAACUAAAAAUGUAAAAAAAUAAUUAAAAAAUAUUUUUAAUUAUUGAUACUAAUAUUAAUAAUAAUUAAUAACCUAUUUAAUUAACAAUGAUGGAUUGAUAUUUUUUAUUUACCUUUCGAAAUAUUUUAUGAAAUAUUUUCAUAUUAUUUGUUAAAUACGUUAUAUUCAAAUAAUCUUUAGAACCAAUUUUGUAGUUUUAAUUGAAAAGUAUCCAAAAGAAAUAAAUAUAUCAUACGAAAGCAUGUUUCCAAUAUGGCGACGCGCAACUUGAUCUAACCGGAACGUUGCGUAUAAAUCGAACGUAUGCUUCGUUAACCAUCUUUUAAAAUAUUUUUUUUUUAUUAAUAUCGUUUAUUCUGUGAUUUUAGUGAAAUAGAAGAAAUUAGAAAGAUAUAAUUAAUUUUUCCCAGUGUUUAUUCACAAGGAGAUUACAAAGAUUGAAGCAAAAAAUAUAAUAUAUAUAUAACACUCAGUUGUGUGGCAUAAAGUCAGGUAAACGUAAAUGAUCGUAGUUCAAUGCUCGAGACUGACCGGGGUCGCCAAAGCAUUUUCCUUUAGCUCCGCUUGACAGCGAUUGGCAUCUAUAAUUCUCGGCGGUGUGGCAAAAAAGUUACGGAAUGCGUUUGAUUCGAACCUGUUUAAACGCGUUUCAGGAAACAUGAACUAAUCUUUUUCACUCUUUAUGACAAUAUCUAUUUUUUGUUUAAGUAAUUCGAACAAAUAUGAAUUAUAUAAUUAUAUGAUUUUUCAAUUAUUAAAGAAACAAUAAAAAAAGAAAGAGGUUAAUUUUAUCGACUUUUUAUGAACUAAUUUUCCAACUAAAUUUUGUGAAUUGUUAUAUGAAUGUAAAUAAAAAAAAAUAUAUAUAAAUUUAUUUUUAAAACUGUUUUUGUAUUUUUACAAUUUUUUAUUAUUUUAUGAUUAUAUUUAUAAUUGUAUUUGACUUUGAAGAUUUAUAGAUUUAUAUGCAGAAUUGUAAAUUUAUUUUGAAAAUAAAAAUCUAAAAAAAUUUUAAAUAUAUUGAAAAAAUAAUUUUAAGUAAUUUAAUUGUAGGUUGAAAUAUUUUAUUAAAAGUUAAAUAUUUUAUAAAAUGUAAAAAUGAAUUUUUCAGUCAAGAAUUAUAUUAAUAGAAUAAAUUAAAAAUUAGAAGAAUAGCAUACUUUGAUAUAUGAUUAACAAUUAUUUUAUAAUUAUAUAAUGAAAUAGAAAAUAAUAAUUUCAUCUAAAAAAAACAAAAUUACGUGCAUUAUUUUGAAUUUGGUUUGUGAUUUAAUAAACUUUUUGUUUAUAUAUUAAUAUUAAUGCGUAUUUUUACAUUAUUCUCUUUUUAUUUGCAAUAGAUACAUACAUGUAGAAACCGAACAAGUUAGAAUGAAAGACGGAAAAUCGCUAGGCGAUUCAAUGGCAUGAGCAAGUUCGCAGCGAAAAAUCUUACCAAUGACAGCAUACAUUUUUAUUAAUUAUUAUUUUAUAUAUACAUGUGGUCGUAUUGUAUGUAUUUAUUAAUGAAACAUGACCACUGACGUAUAAAGUAUAAGUAUUUAUGAAUCACUUAAAAACAAUUGUAAAUGUGGCACAGCCCAAGUAAAUCCCUGAAGAAAAUCUUUAAGAAUUAAUAAAAUUCCUUUUAUUAUAACUCGCUUUCUCAAACUGAUAAAUCACUAAGAUAAUUUUUAUUCGCUAAAUUUGAUUAUCAUUUUGAUUUAUCAAAUUUUUUGAUUCUGGCACUGAAUAUAGCACACAAAGAAUGAAGCAUUUUUAUAAAAAUUUUAUUAAAAAAUAAGAUCAUUGUAGAAUAAAUUCUUACCUGCAUAUUUUUAAUAAAUCUUUGCAUUCUCUUCCUUUCUCUAUUUCUUUUCUUUUGAAAUAUAAAUUUUUAUUUAAAUUUUAAAAGCCAAAGUAAUUUGUUAUUUAUCAUCACUUAUCAUUAUCUUUUUUUUCUUUCAAGAAAUAUAAAUUUACGACAUGUCGAGGAAUUACUCGACAAAAAAAAGAAAAAGAAAAAAAAAGAAA